rnacentral:rRNA from 1 species
GUGAAUCAUCGAGUCUUUGAACGCACAUUGCACCCUGUGGUAUUCCACAGGGUAUGCCUGUCUGAGCGUCAUUUCUCUCUCAAAACUUUUAUUAGUUUUGGUGUUGAGUGAUACUCGGGUUUUAAGCUUGAGUUUGCUUGAAAAGUAUUGGCAAGGGAAGUAAUUCUUGUGAAAGCUAUUUAUUCAAUGUAUUAGGUUUAUCCAACUCGUUGAUUGAUGGUGGGAGCUUGUAUUGCUAUUAGGCCCGGCCUUACAACAAACAAACCAAAGUUUGACCUCAAAUCAGGUAGGAUUACCCGCUGAACUUAA